CACACUUCCAACGGCGUCGUAUUCACACCCCCCUCCCCUUUUUCUUUGUUCCGCUCUACGUUCACCAGUAGUUAGGGUUUGCUCUGACUCUCUCUCUUCUUCCUUUUGUUUCUCUCUCUAUUUCUCUUAAUCUAGCAAAAAAGAAAAAAUGAAAAUAAAAAUUGGAAUAGACAUAGGAAAUCUUAGCUCAUGAAAAUAAUCCUGCACCAAAAUCCAAACCCUAACCGGUAUUAGUUUUACGUUUUCAGAGAUUGCUGAACAAUACAAUUUUAUUUCUCAAUGAGUUCAAGACUUGGAAAUAUAAUAGAUUUCGGGGCUUUGAGUAUGAGUUUGUAUAUCACUAUUUGGAUGCUUAGGAGCAGAGCUAUUCAGGACUGUAUAUGAAUAAGGGAGUAGCUAUUCACGAGGAAUUUGUAUAUGAUGAACACUAACUGUGGUGCUAGGAUUUGCCGGUUUACUCAGAUGGCACUGUUUCUUUGAGACGGGUGGCAGGUUAGAGUAGGGUUCUUGUAUAUCCUUAUAUUUGAACCUUUGGAUUUAACCUUUUUGAUAGGGAUUGAUCUAGUAGGUAGAAAUAGAAAUGGAUCCAAAGAUCGCAAAGGUGUUGGAUAGUAGUUCUAGAGUUGUGCUCGGCCUGAAGAGAAAGAGAGCAACUCCACAUGCAACACAUUUUGCUGGGCCUCGACGAGCAUUUUUACAGCACCUGCCCCUUUGCAAAUCGUCGGCGCAAAAGCUUGAAAAGCGAAGGAAAUUAGAUGGAUGCAAAAGCAAAGUUGUGAGUGGGUGUAAUUUUAGAAAAUCUUUAAUCCAUUAUUACUCAAAUUACAAGAAAAGUGGUAUACCACAACGUCUUAUGUACUAUGAGAAUGGUGAUUGGACUGAUUUUCCUGAGGAUGUUAUUGCUUUUGUGAAGAAAGAUCUUCAAGAAAAGAAGGCAGCCGUAGAGGUUGAGCUAAAUGGUCAUUAUUUUCUGCUUGAUUUCCUGCAUAUGUUGCGACUGGACUUAAAAACAGGUGCACAACAAUCGAUUGCUUGGAUUGAUGAAGCAGGUGCUUGCUUCUUUCCAGAAAUUUACAUCAACGGCGAAGAAUCAUAUAACUGCUGCCAAAAUGAAUGUGGCAAAGACCAUGAAUCAGUGCGGAGGGAUUCUUAUGGGCCCCAUGAAAUAAAGCUACAGCUUGAAAUUGAUGUAGCUGGAGUGGAGCAGUCUAAGUUGAAAGAAUGUAGUGGCGAGUCAAAUGCUGUUAUUAAGCAGGUCCAAAUUGCACAAAAAUCUGCUGGUACCCAGUAUGUUGUGGAAGUUGAGGAUAGUUGCAACCGGAAAACUGAUGCAAAAUUAGACGAAGCUAUUGAAGACAAUCAGCAUAUGAAGACCAAUUUAGUGGCCAGGACUGAAUUAGUUGAUGAAAAGUUGGGAUCUGAUGCCGUACAGAAGAUUUUUUUAAUGGGUAUGAGAUGUUUUGGUGGUGUAGAAAUACUUGAUAUACAGUGCUGUGCUAGUCCUAGGUUGUCAGCACGUUUUGAGCUUUUCCAGAAACAGCUUGAAAUUACAAGAAAGUAUCGUGGGGAUGCAAAUGUUCGAUAUGCAUGGCUUGCUACUGCAAAAAGAGCACUUCCUAUGAUUAUGACAUUUGGGCUUGGGCUUUGUGGAGCAUCCACAACUAACUCCGCAUAUGGCAUUGGUGUCCAUCUUGCUGCUGCAAGCUCUCCUGAUGCCAGUGUAAAUAUUUGUGAUGUUGACGAAAAUGGUGUGCAACACAUGGUAUUUUGUCGUGUGAUUAUGGGAAAUAUGGAGCAAUUAUGCCCUGGAACUAAGCAGUAUCAUCCCAGUACAGAGGAUUUUGACAGUGGAGUUGAUGAUCUUCAGAACCCAAGGCAUUUCACAGUCUGGAAUAUGAAUGUGAAUACCCAUGUUUACCCAGAAUUUGUUGUUAGUUUCAAGAUUGCUUCCAAUGGUGAAGGGAAUGUGGUUGGAAGUGAGAAUCAGAAUACAAUAUCUGCAUUUACUACAUCUUCGCAAGGGCUUCGAAACCAUUUGCGGUUGGAAUCCUCUGCAGUUGAUUUUGGAACUGUUAGUCCUCUGGUUUCAGAGACUGGGGGAUCUCAGGGAAAAGCUCCUAGUACUAAUUCAUGCAGUCCAAGGGCUCCCAAAUCUCCUUGGAUGCCUUUUCCUAUGUUAUUUGCUGCCAUCUCAAAUAAAGUUUCUCCUAAUGACAUGGAGUUAAUUACCAAUCAUUAUGAACUAUUCAGGGCGAAGAAGAUUAGUCGGGAUGAUUUUGUCAAAAAGUUGCGAGUGACAGUUGGAGAUGUUUUGUUGAGGUCAACAAUAACUGCUCUACAAUGCAAGGUACCAUCCAAGCGAGAAGUUGAACUGUUGAACCAAAAUGUUGAAAAAUUACCUGAGCUUCAGUUAUCGUUAGGACCGUCUCCUGGAGUCUGAGCAGCUGUUCAUGGUCUCAUCUCUCAACAGAUAUGGGGAGAGGAGGGGAGGAGGCAACGCUGGGUACAUGCUUGUUGGAAAUAUGUCGACAUGAAGCUGUGAAUACACACUGGUGAUUGGUGUAGGCAGAGCUUCGAAGAUUAGUGGUGUCUGAUGAAGAAUUUGCAAAUUUCUGCUAUGCAAGAGACUGCUUACUAUUACAAAUUACCUCCGAAAAAUCUCAGUGCGGAGCAUAUAACCACUGGAAUUCAAUCAUGGUUUUGUUUUGAAUUUUAGAUUAAAGAUUAGUCAAGCAGUGGAUGCUGACAGAGUAUCCAAAGAAUAAGUGGACUCUUUCAGAUCGAUAAUUCUGACAAAGGAAAGAAGACAUCACUAGAAGUUGGUCUAGUGCUGAGAGCACUACGAUAUGGCAGCUAUGUUCAUAUCUAUGUGGCUUCUGGUGAAGUAUGUGGAGGGAAGAGAUAUUGAUAGCUAUGAAAGCAAUUUUUGCACACUUCCAUUCAAAUGACUGACUGUAUUGGAUGAUAUUGUUUGCGAUGUAUUCGCUACCAAGACCAAUGGUACUAUGGCUACAAAAGGUAUAGGUGCGUGUUGUUUUUAUUCUUCUAACUGGCUGCCAACUUUUUUGUUGCUUUCUCUUUGUUGGCAGCAAAUAUUUUGGGCGCAAACACGAACACACCCAAAUGCAAAAAAUCGUGGGAGGUAUGUGCCUCCGGAGAGGCUUCAUGAGAAAGCCUAGGGGGUAUGGUCAGACAGAGUUGAGUUUCAGGCCUAGUUGGGCUUAGAGCUUAAUCCGGGGCUUGAAUAGUUGAAUAAGAUUUUAAACAAACGAAAAGUUUAAGCUCGGUUUAUGUCCAUGUUUAAUUUAGUUCGAAACACUUUUUCUUUCAUCCUUUAGACUUGUCAAUUCAAUUGCGGAUGGGUAUUGUUUAGAAUAUAUGCUAUGUUAUGCA